rnacentral:lncRNA from 1 species
CCAGCCACUUAUCAGAGUCAGACCUCUGAAUUGCACCUAUAUAGAUGAUCGGAUCCUCAUUAUUCUCAUCGAGUUCAAAUGGAUCCCCAUCUCGGACUAAGAAACUAUAGUACUAUCUGGUUGACGUGGUACUCUACUGGAUCUCCUUAAAGAUGUUUCUACAAUAGAUUUUAGAUUUGAUCUAAUCAAGUCUGACUCUAUGGGUUUACUAAAUUGUAUCGGUUCUUCUACCGAUCG